rnacentral:rRNA from 1 species
UACGAAGGGGGCUAGCGUUGCUCGGAAUCACUGGGCGUAAAGCGCACGUAGGCGGGCUCUUAAGUCGGUGGUGAAAUCCUGGAGCUCAACUCCAGAACUGCCUCCGAUACUGGGAGUCUUCGAGUCCGGGAGAGGUGAGUGGAACUGCGAGUGUAGAGGUGAAAUUCGUAGAUAUUCGUAAGAACACCAGUGGCGAAGGCGACUUACCGGCUCGAUACUGACGCUAAGGCGCGAAAGCGUGGGGAGCAAACAGG